AAUAGAUACCCGGGUAGUCCACGCCCUAAACGAUGUCGACUGGGUGUUGGGGAAGCGAUUUCCCAGUACCGUAGCUAACGCGUGAAGUCGACCGCCUGGGGAGUACGGCCGCAAGGUUAAAACUCAAAGGAAUUGACGGGGACCCGCACAAGCGGUGGAUGAUGUGGAUUAAUUCGAUGCAACGCGAACAACCUUACCUACCCUUGACAUGUGCCGAAGCCCGCCGAGAGGCGGGGGUGCCCGAAAGGGAACGGCAACACAGGUGCUGGCAUGGCUGUCGUCAGCUCGUGUCGUGAGAUGUUGGGUUAAGUCCCGCAACGAGCGCAACCCUUGUCCCUAGUUGCUACGCAAGGGCACUCUAGGGAGACUGCCGGUGACAAACCGGAGGAAGGUGGGGAUGACGUCAAGUCCUCAUGGCCCUUAUGGGUAGGGCUUCACACGUCAUACAAUGGCCGGUACAGAGGGUUGCCAAGCCGCGAGGCGGAGCCGAAUCCCCGUAAAAGCCGGUCGUAGUCCGGAUUGCAGUCUGCAACUCGAGUGCAUGAAGUUGG
rnacentral:rRNA from 1 species